CCAACGGUCCUCUUCAGGGCCACAACUUAAUAAUCCAAACGAAUUAU
rfam:Caenorhabditis tropicalis strain JT1373 unplaced genomic scaffold Scaffold629, whole genome shotgun sequence.